rnacentral:lncRNA from 1 species
AAAAAUUUGGAGCUACACUAGAAAUUGUCACAGUUAAGUCACAAGAAGGAUCACAGUUUGUGAAAGGAUUUGGUGGAAUUGGAGGUAUCUUGCCGUACUGAGUAGAUUUCCAGGGAAUGGAAUACCAAGGAGGAGAUGACGAAUUUUUUUGACCUUGAUGACUACAAGGUAGUCGACGUGGGUCCGGCAAAACAUGCCUCACCCUCCAGCAUUCAACCCAAGGAGCAUACCCUUGGUGGAAUCCAAACAGAUCCCUGCCUUACAAUUGGAACAUUUCCAGAACUUAAUCGGUGAGCAUCAGAUACUGAAAAGAAAAGCGAAACAAAACCAGACCCAACCCUACACUUUGGUUUGUCAUGGUGUCAGCACAGUAGCCUACAACUAAGUCCCUAAAUGCCACUUUGGACUAACUUAAAAGAAUUCCAGUUUUUACUUUUUCUUGAUGGUAAAAUUGGUUGCUCUUGUAUUUUACAAAAAAAAUAUGUUUUUAACCUUCAUACAUAGAAGCAAAAUACUUGAACUGAUGUAAACCUUCAGAAGUCAGUAGAAGUGAGAUCAUACUGGUUUGUUUCUUCCUUUGAUCAGAAAAUAACUAAAUU